rnacentral:rRNA from 1 species
AGCGGAUUUGAACGUUGCGCAGCAACGGCCCGGAGGGUGGCGGGCAGGACGCCCGCCAUAAACUGCCAGGCAUCAAACAAGUGAAGAGCCCAUCCUGUCGGAUGGGCUUUUUGCGUUUCUGUCGUCCGGCCAGCGUGCCGGCAUGCCUCCCCGGUGGCGCUGCGCUUACCGGGGCUACGUCCCUGUGGCCGGACAAGGUGCGCAGCACCGCCUCCGGGAAAAUCCCUCCUAUAUCACCGUCGAUAAAUGACUAUUGCCUCUCUAACCAACUCACAAUAAAUGUCGCGAUCUGUGGUACAUCAUUUAAAUCCAGCAGCGGAAGUGAGGUCGCGAUCGAUACAUCGCUGGCCACGGCGAUGGUAUGCUCAUCAAUUACCAGCUCUUCUACACGAUGGCCGCUGUUUUGCCGAAAAAGCAGGAUCUUCGGCACGGAUUCAUGUUUGAACCCCUCCACUAAAACCAGGUCCAGUUUGCUGGCAUCCAUUCGACUGACCAGCCAUGUGAGAUCUAAUUCCGGCUUCUCUGGCGUCUCGGUCAUCAAUGCCCACCGCUGUUCGCUGGCGACAAUAGUUUGCGCAGCGCCCGCCUUACGCAGUUCAUAGCUAUCUUUGCCCGGCUUAUCCACGUCCAUAUCAUGAUGGGUGUGCUUUAUCAGUCCCGGGCGUAAUCCUAGAGCGCAAAGCUCAGGGAUAAGACGCUUUAAUAAUGUUGUUUUUCCGGUACCGCUCCAUGCGGCGAUCGCCAGUAAUGGGAUCAUGAUGGCUCCUGCAUCUGCUGCAAAUCUUCGAGCGUAUUUACAUUAAUGAAAGCAGUUUUCACAUCGCUGAAAUUCACCGGGCGCCCACCCAUUUGUCGCAUAAAAACCAUCACCCUGCGCUCUCCAUGUGCCAGAUAAGCCUCCAGUUCCGGAAUGAUUUGACGAUGAACUAAUGCAACGGCAGGAUGAUCCCGUUCGCCGUCAUGGGCCCAAACGACCGGUGCGUCCCCUCUCUGCUGGAUAAAGCGCUCCACCAAAAAGGACGGAAUGAACGGCGUGUCGCAGGGGCAAAAAACAAACCAUGGGCUCGCGACCUGCUGCAUCACAGCAAGCAUUCCGGCCAGCGGCCCCUGAUAACCCUCCUGUAUGUCUCGAAAGACCGGAUAUCCGCUGGCACGCCACUGUUCAAGAUGACGAUUGGCGCUAAUGACUAACUCAUCUACCUGCGGGGCUAAUGCUUCCGCGACGUGUCGCCAGAGAGGGCGACCAUUUAGCGCCUGUAAUCCUUUAUCAAUGCCGCCCAUCCGCGUGGCCCUGCCGCCCGCCAGCACGACGCCGGUUAUCGCCUCGCUUUGCAUAUGAAUAUCGCCUCUUUCAUUGUGGGAUUGACCCUGUUAACUUGUCCCUAUCAAGAGUAAGGAGCAUGACCAUGAAAUGUAAACGUCUGAAUGAAGUAAUUGAACUCCUCCAGCCAGCCUGGCAAAAAGAGCCUGAACUGAACCUGACACAGGUGGUCAGGUAGAGAAUACCAAGGCGCUUGAGAGAACUCGGGUGAAGGAACUAGGCAAAAUGGUGCCGUAACUUCGGGAGAAGGCACGCUGGUGUGUAGGUGAAGUCCCUGCGGAUGGAGCUGAGACCAGUCGAAGAUACCAGCUGGCUGCAACUGUUUAUUAAAAACACAGCACUGUGCAAACACGAAAGUGGACGUAUACGGUGUGACGCCUGCCCGGUGCCGGAAGGUUAAUUGAUGGGGUUAUCCGUAAGGAGAAGCUCUUGAUCGAAGCCCCGGUAAACGGCGGCCGUAACUAUAACGGUCCUAAGGUAGCGAAAUUCCUUGUCGGGUAAGUUCCGACCUGCACGAAUGGCGUAAUGAUGGCCAGGCUGUCUCCACCCGAGACUCAGUGAAAUUGAACUCGCUGUGAAGAUGCAGUGUACCCGCGGCAAGACGGAAAGACCCCGUGAACCUUUACUAUAGCUUGACACUGAACAUUGAGCCUUGAUGUGUAGGAUAGGUGGGAGGCUUUGAAGCGUGGACGCCAGUCUGCGUGGAGCCAACCUUGAAAUACCACCCUUUAAUGUUUGAUGUUCUAACGUUGGCCCCUGACCGGGGUUGCGGACAGUGUCUGGUGGGUAGUUUGACUGGGGCGGUCUCCUCCCAAAGCGUAACGGAGGAGCACGAAGGUUAGCUAAUCCUGGUCGGACAUCAGGAGGUUAGUGCAAUGGCAUAAGCUAGCUUGACUGCGAGCGUGACGGCGCGAGCAGGUGCGAAAGCAGGUCAUAGUGAUCCGGUGGUUCUGAAUGGAAGGGCCAUCGCUCAACGGAUAAAAGGUACUCCGGGGAUAACAGGCUGAUACCGCCCAAGAGUUCAUAUCGACGGCGGUGUUUGGCACCUCGAUGUCGGCUCAUCACAUCCUGGGGCUGAAGUAGGUCCCAAGGGUAUGGCUGUUCGCCAUUUAAAGUGGUACGCGAGCUGGGUUUAGAACGUCGUGAGACAGUUCGGUCCCUAUCUGCCGUGGGCGCUGGAGAAUUGAGGGGGGCUGCUCCUAGUACGAGAGGACCGGAGUGGACGCAUCACUGGUGUUCGGGUUGUCAUGCCAAUGGCACUGCCCGGUAGCUAAAUGCGGAAGAGAUAAGUGCUGAAAGCAUCUAAGCACGAAACUUGCCCCGAGAUGAGUUCUCCCUGAGACUUUAAGUCUCCUGAAGGAACGUUGAAGACGA